CAGUAGCCGCGGUAAUACGAAGGGUGCAAGCGUUACUCGGAAUUACUGGGCGUAAAGCGUGCGUAGGUGGUGGUUUAAGUCCGUUGUGAAAGCCCUGGGCUCAACCUGGGAAUUGCAGUGGAUACUGGAUCACUAGAGUGUGGUAGAGGAUAGUGGAAUUUCCGGUGUAGCAGUGAAAUGCGUAGAGAUCGGAAGGAACAUCUGUGGCGAAGGCGACUAUCUGGGCCAACACUAACACUGAGGCACGAAAGCGUGGGGAGCAAACAGGAUUAGAUACCCGCGUAGUCCCUGUCUCUUAUAC
rnacentral:rRNA from 1 species